rnacentral:rRNA from 1 species
AUUGAACGCUGGCGGCAUGCCUAACACAUGCAAGUCGAACGGUAACAGAUCUUCGGCUUCUUCCUACUGGCGGCCGGGUGCGUACUACAUAGGAACAUACCCGAACCUAGUUUUUCGCGGGGCGUAAGCUUUGCUAAUUUACCCUACGAUCUCCUGCUACCAGCGGGGGAAAUUAGGACCUCUCCCGACCGUGCGGGCCGAUGGCAGAUUAGGUAGUUGGUGGGAUAAAGGCUUACCAAGGCGACGAUCUGUAGCUGGUCUGAGAGGAUGAUCAGCCACACUGGAACUGAGACACGGCCCAGACUCCUACGGGAGGCAGCAGUGGGGAAUAUUGGACAAUGGGCGAAAGCCUGAUCCAGCCAUGCCGCGUGCAGGAAGAAGGCCUUCGGGUUGUAAACUCCUUUUGUACGGAACGAAAAGCAGCAGGCUAAUAAAGAGGUGUCAUGACGGUACCGUAAGAAUAAGCACCGGCUAACUACGUG